CAUGGUUUACAGUUCUGUUUCAGAGUGAGUGAGUCUAGGGCUAGGCUAUACAUCCCAUGGUUUACAGUUCUGUUUCAGAGUGAGUCAGUCUAGGGCUAGGCUAUACAUCCCAUGGUUUACAGUUCUGUUUCAGAGUGAGUGAGUCUAGGGCUAGGCUAUACAUCCCAUGGUUUACAGUUCUGUUUCAGAGUGAGUGAGUCUAGGGCUAGGCUAUACAUCCCAUGGUUUACAGUUCUGUUUCAGAGUGAGUGAGUCUAGGGCUAGGCUAUACAUCCCAUGGUUUACAGUUCUGUUUCAGAGUGAGUCAGUCUAGGGCUAGGCUAUACAUCCC
rnacentral:lncRNA from 1 species